rnacentral:lncRNA from 1 species
GGUAAGUUUAUGACGAUACGCUUAAGUUUUGCCAACACAAUGCCCGAGAUGGCUCCCGGAUAACGAUAAUAGCUGUGGCAAGUAAAGGAGGCCAGACUUUAAAGGAGGCUGUCCAGAGAAUGUCUUUUGCGUUAUUCACUAAUAACCUCUGCUGUAAACUUAACUGGUCUGGUAUUACUAUAAAUGACAAUGAAAGUAACUUUGUAAAACAAAGACUUACACUUGCUUAAAAGAGCUGUAAAAAGAAAUCCUGCAACAACUUCAGCAACUGAAUCAGAUUUUCAAUAUGAGGUUGUGCGUUUAUUGCGUGGUGCAUCAGACCGCAAUGGUGGAAAAAAAGUUAGACAAGACCAAAAAAACAAACAAGCCAAGAAAAAAGUGAUGCCUACAUCAAGUUUUCCAAUGCCAUUAAAUAAAGAGGGAUUUUUUAGUUCAGAUGAAUAAUAUUGUUAAAUAAAAUAAGCAUCUUUAUUUACAAAUUUGUUAUCUUUAUUUUAUUGAAAACUAUUUUAUAUAUUUUUAAAUAUUUUAAUUUUUAAACUCUAUAGAGUAAAGUUUUUGUGCAAUGAGUAUUACUGUUUCUGUGUUUUUCAUAUUCAUUCCCUUUUACAGUAACCUUUUGUAUAUGAGAUUGUAGAUGAAAAUUUAAAUCGUGAUAUUGAAUCUUACCAGAGAAUAAAGAAACCGUUUACCUCAACCAGAGUUAUAUUUCAUAGAAUUAUGUUGACCAUGAUCCAAAUAUUGCCAUGGGUAUAAGAUAGAUGUUUGAUUUGCAAACUGGAUUUAAAUAAUAUUUUGUUUAAACAUAUUUAUUUGCUCUUUAUAUGCUUACAAAUAAUUUAUUAGAAAAAAUUACAUACUUAUUUACUAAACCGUUUUAUUUCAAUCAAUUAUUUGAUUUUUUAUAUUUUUCAAGGAGUUUUUAUAGUAUAUUAUAUUGGGCUGUGUUUUUUUUUUUGUAUGGUGAAGACUAUGAUUAAUUUACAAACUAUAUUUUAGUUUAUCAAAAUAUAUUUUUAUUGAUGUGUUUUGCCUCUGAUUCUUUCUUUUUCAGAUGUGUACUUGUGUCUUAGGCUUAUGCUUUGCAAAAGGUUCACAAUCGCCCUUAAGUUGCUGUGGGUUUUACGGUUUUACUUCCAACCUGACAUAUAAAUGCACUUAGUAUCUGAAGUUAUUUGUCAAUAACUGGUGAUCAGACUAUUUCAAACGAAUACGUUUUUAAGGGCUGAGAAGGCGAAAGAUAGAAGUCUGCAGACUGCAACGUAAAUCAAUUUUCAACACAUGGUUUCCUAAAUAUAUUUAGUUUUCGAUUGAAAUGAGAAUAAAUUGAACUUAUAGAUAUGUUGAAAAAUAACUAUUUUAUAUUUUAAACAUUCGCUAAACGCAAGUGAAGCAAUAAUCUAAAUAUGCAAUUAUACUUUA